GCCAAACAUCGACAUACCCAAAUCCUACUGUUUCUAAUAGAUUCAACCAAACGGCCAAACACAGCCAGAAAAUCCUGCCACCACCUCUCUGCCCUCAAUUAUUCUCACAAGCCACUACAUUCCUCGCGACAAAGUCACCACAAGAAGAGAACAAUUGUGCAAGUUUACCUGUACAUGUCCGGGCGCUUGGGCUUAUUCUGGACAACCGAUUCGAUCUUCUCGAGCACCUGGGGAGUUAGCAGGGGAAUGACAUCGAUAGCCUUCAUGUUCUCUGUUAUCUGACUCUCCUUUGUUGCACCAGUAAUCACUGAGGAGACGUUGGGAUUUGAUGCGCACCAAGCGAUGGCAAGUUGAGAUAAGGGAACUCCCAGCUCCUCUG
rnacentral:misc_RNA from 1 species